rnacentral:rRNA from 1 species
UACGAAGGGUGCGAGCGUUGUCCGGAAUCACUGGGCGUAAAGGGCGCGUAGGUGGCGGCCCAAGUCCAUGGUGAAAGCUCGAUGCUCAACAUCGAGUCGGCCACGGAUACUGGGUUGCUCGAGCACUGUAGGGGCAGAUGGAAUUCCGGGUGUAGCGGUGGAAUGCGUAGAGAUCCGGAAGAACACCGGUGGCGAAGGCGGUCUGCUGGGCAGUUGCUGACACUGAGGCGCGACAGCGUGGGGAGCAAACAGG